rfam:Thiobacillus sp. SCN 63-374 ABS92_C0103, whole genome shotgun sequence.
CUACUGGCAUCGAGAGGUGCUGGGAUGAACUGCCAGAAGUCAGCAGAGGCCAUAGUAGCUGCCGGCAAGGGGCGAAGGGC